rnacentral:rRNA from 1 species
UACGGAGGGAGCUAGCGUUGUUCGGAAUUACUGGGCGUAAAGCGCACGUAGGCGGCUUUGUAAGUUAGAGGUGAAAGCCCGGAGCUCAACUCCGGAACUGCCUUUAAGACUGCAUCGCUUGAAUCCAGGAGAGGUGAGUGGAAUUCCGAGUGUAGAGGUGAAAUUCGUAGAUAUUCGGAAGAACACCAGUGGCGAAGGCGGCUCACUGGACUGGUAUUGACGCUGAGGAGCGAAAGCCAGGGGAGCAAACGGG